rnacentral:rRNA from 1 species
UACAGAGGAGCCAAGCGUUGUCCGGAUUGACUGGGCGUAAAGCGCACGCAGGCGGAUGCGCGCGUGGGGUGUGAAAUCUGGCCGCUUAACGGCCAGGCGCCAUCCCAUACGGCGCGUCUGGAGUGAUGCAGAGGUCGAUGGAAUUGCCGGUAUAGUGGUGAAAUGCGUAGAGAUCGGCAGGAACACCCAGGGGGAAACCAGUCGACUGGGCAUCUACUGACGCUGAGGUGCGAGAGCGUGGGGAGCGAACCGG